AACGCAGAAUUAUGUUUUAAAUUUUUUAUGUAAGAUUUUUUUUUAUACUACAUACAUAUAUUAUUUUUAACUUAAGUGAUUUGUUGCCCCUAUAGCUGCACUUCUUAAUAAUUAUAACGUGCGCGCAUUUUAUGGGAUGCGCCUCUGAUUGGCUUGUCAAAAAUGUGUUGGUAUUAUAUAUACAACCCUUCACAACAAUAGUUUUUUUCUAUCUGUAGGCUUAUCAUACUGCUGACCUUAACCGCGACAAUUGCGACAUGUGUAUAUAGAGCAGAAAUACAUUCGUAUAUUUAUUGAAUUACAUUUUCCGCAGACUCUUUCUCGUUUUGGUCACUGUGAGUAAUACAAUUUGGAAGUCAACACAAUGAUACAUAUUAAAUGCAAGGACACUGACCUAGAACCAAUAACCGUUAAGAUUGGUAUAAUUGGUGGUAGCGGUCUCGAUGAUCCGGAUAUUUUAGAAAAUCGCAAAGAGACCGAAGUCAAGACACCAUUCGGCAACCCUUCUGAUGUCUUGAUCGAAGGUGAGAUUGGCGGUGUAAACUGUGUACUCUUGGCACGUCAUGGUCGCAAACAUAACAUUAUGCCAACUAACGUGAAUUAUCGUGCCAACAUUUGGGCCAUGCGUCAAGUUGGCUGCACACAUUUAAUUGUAUCAACCGCGUGCGGAUCACUGCGGGAAGAAAUCCAUCCAGGCGAUUUGGUAGUACCAAAUGACUUCAUCGAUCGCACCACGAAACGUGUACAAACCUUUUACGAUGGCGGGGCGGAAAGUCCGCGUGGUGUUUGUCAUUUAAGUAUGUUUCCAUGUUUCAGUGAACGUGUACGCUCGAUGCUAGUUGCCACUGCUAAAGAAUUGGAUUACAACGUACAUGAAAAGGCAACCAUUGUAACAAUUGAAGGACCACGUUUCUCUUCACGUUCUGAAAGUAACAUGUUCCGCCAAUGGGGUGGUGAUCUUAUUAAUAUGACCACUUGUCCCGAAGUUGUAUUGGCCAAAGAAGCUGGACUAUUAUAUGGUUCCGUGGCGAUUGCAACCGAUUACGACUGCUGGCGCAUGGGUUGCGAAGGUGUUAAUGUGCAAGAUGUAUUAAAGACCUUUUCCGCCAAUGUUGUCAAGGUAAAGCAUAUACUAAUAAAGGCCGUACAGAAUAUAGCCAAAGAAGAUUGGACCGAAGAUAUUUUGGAUGCUAAGGAAUGCGUUUGCAAGAACACAAUGUCCGGUGCAAUGUGACGCUUUUUACUAUUAUGUCAAGAAUUUACUGGUGAAUUCAUACAACGUCGUCGCCCACAAAUCUCCGCUUCAAAAUUCAACGACCCAAACAACACAAUGAACUUGCUUCCUAAAUUGAAUUCAAUUUCUAUAGUCUACGACUUAGUUCCAGCAUCAAAAGAACACAACGUUCAAGAGAAUCAUAAAAAGCAAAGGAAAACACAUCCCAAUCAGAAUGCGGAGCAAUCAGCAUAAUUUCCAAAUAAUGGCAACUUAUUAUAUUUUACCGUAUUAGCCUACAAAACUAACCUAACCUUACCUAUUAUAUUUUACGAUACCCUAUUUUAGUUAUAAACUACUGCACAUACAGCAUUUACUCCUCAAUAUGUGCGCAUGUGUUCAUGCCUCAUAAAUUGUAUUUCAAAUGUUUUAAAAUAAAGUUAACACCAGUUUAUUUAAAAAAAUGUGCAUGAUUUAUGAGGAAUAUUGUAUGCAAUCCGUAACAUUUACUUUGUACACCUUUUUAUAUAACACUUGUUUCUGUGAAAUCAUAUAUUCUGUUGUAGAAAAUGUCUUAGUAAAUCAUUUGCUUUAAAAAAAUUUUAGAUGGAAAAUUAAAUUUUGAAAAGUCAUUAAAUAAAAAUUAAAUAAUAUUAUUCUGCAAUUCUUGUAUGCGCCCAAAAUCAUUUCCCUUAUCGAAAUUAGUCAACUAAGAAAACCAUGGCGUGCUGCGAAAGGGAAGCGAAACCUGCGCCCAAAAAGGAGCCUGCUGAGGCAGGAAUUUGUGGUUGCAUGGUCAAAAUUGGCAUAAUUGGCGGCAGCGGUCUAGACGAUCCAGAUAUAUUAGAAGGAAGAAAG